rnacentral:rRNA from 1 species
GACGAACGCUGGCGGCGUGCUUAACACAUGCGAGUCGAACGGAAAGGCCCUGCUUUUGUGGGGUGCUCGAUUGGCGAACGGGUGAGUAACACGUGAGUAACCUGCCCUUGACUUUGGGAUAACUUCAGGAAACUGGGGCUAAUACCGGAUAGGAGCUCCUGCUGCAUGUUGGGGGUUGGAAAGUUUCGGCGGUUGGGGAUGGACUCGCGGCUUAUCAGCUUGUUGGUGUGGUAGUGGCUUACCAAGGCUUUGACGGGUAGCCGGCCUGGGAGGGUGACCGGCGACAUUGGGACUGAGAUACGGACCAGAAGCCUACGGGCGGCAGCAGUGGGGAACAUUGCAGAAUGGGCGGAAGCCUGAUGCAGCAGCGCCGCGUGCGGGAUGACGGCCUUCGGGUUGUAAACCAAUUUCGAAUGUGACGAAGAGUGAGUGACGGUAAUGGGUAAAGAAGCAACGGCUAACUACGUG